GAUGAACGCUGGCGGCGUGCCUAAUACAUGCAAGUCGAGCGAACGGACGAGAAGCUUGCUUCUCUGAUGUUAGCGGCGGACGGGUGAGUAACACGUGGAUAACCUACCUAUAAGACUGGGAUAACUUCGGGAAACCGGAGCUAAUACCGGAUAAUAUUUUGAACCGCAUGGUUCAAAAGUGAAAGACGGUCUUGCUGUCACUUAUAGAUGGAUCCGCGCUGCAUUAGCUAGUUGGUAAGGUAACGGCUUACCAAGGCAACGAUGCAUAGCCGACCUGAGAGGGUGAUCGGCCACACUGGAAAUGAGACACGGUCCAGACUCCUACGGGAGGCAGCAGUAGGGAAUCUUCCGCAAUGGGCGAAAGCCUGACGGAGCAACGCCGCGUGAGUGAUGAAGGUCUUCGGAUCGUAAAACUCUGUUAUUAGGGAAGAACAAAUGUGUAAGUAACUGUGCACAUCUUGACGGUACCUAAUCAGAAAGCCACGGCUAACUACGUG
rnacentral:rRNA from 1 species